GGGUCUUUUGAUCCGAACCAGUAUAAAUACUUUGUGCAAUUUUCUCUUCUCUACUCUCUUUAUUUUAUUGUGUUUAUUAGAAAAUAAAGGAAAGAAAUUUAAUUGAUCUUUGAUAUUAAAAGGGAAAAUAUUAAAAGCACAAUUUUUAUUAAGAACCCAAUUCACCCUCCUCUUGGUUUUUGUCCACACGCCCAAACAUUCCGCUGCGCGAUACCAACAACUCCACAAUCCAUACGUUCUGCUGAAGUUAUUGCAGGAUUCAUUACGAUGUUCAUCGAUAGCCAGGCAUUUGGACACAUUGAUCGAAUGUUCCUAAUACGAAUUCAGAAUGAGAUCGGUUCAUAGUGGACUAUUGUUGAUGAUGACCUUAAUAUUUACCAGUAUUUGAAGAAAGACUUUGCCAAUUAUUAUCGCAAUAGUGGACUCUCAAGUCUUGUGCUCCAUGGACCGUUAGGAGAAAUCGAAUGUAGGUUAAUCAUAACAACAACAUCUGUCAAGAUAGGAGUUGGCUGGAAGACUUUUUGUUCGCUUCAUCGUCUAUCAGUGGAGUUCUUAUUUGAUUUAUUCUUCGAAGUUCAAAGUGAACGACCUAGCAGUCAUGUGAAAGUCCUAUAUAAUUUAAAUUUGUUUUGAUAUUUGUACUUUUGAAAGC